rnacentral:rRNA from 1 species
UUGUGAAAAAANGCCAAGUUGGCUUUCAACCUUANCUGUUAAGACCGGNCCGAAUAACCUGUAUGAAGCUUAAGAAGGUAAUUUGAAGAGGGGAAACCGGGAAAUUUCCCCAGGUGUUACCGGGUGAAAAUGCCGUAGGAUAAUCCGGGGAGGAAACAACCCAGGUGGCGAAGCGGGCUUUCCUGGGCAACAAAGACCUGGACAGCGUCAAUGUUGCAGAAAGCUAGGGUAGCGAACGGGAUUAGAUACCCCAGGUAGUCACUAGCCGUAAAACGAUGGAUACUGGUGGUGGGUCCAGCAGGGCAUCAUGUGCACGGAGCGAACGCAGUUAAGUAUCCCAGCACUGGGGACUACGGUCAGCAAGACAUGAAACAUCAAAGGAAUUGACAGGGGGCACACGCACAAGCGGUGGAGCACGUGGUUUAAUUCGAUGCAAACCGAAGAACCUUACACUGGGUUUGACAUGACGGUGUUAGGCGCGAGAGAUUGCGCUGACCGCGCAGAGAUGCGUGGAGCCGCACACAGGUGCUGCAUGGCNGUCGUCAGCUCGUGUCGUGAGAUGUUGGGUCAAGUCCCAAAACGAGCGCGACCCUAAUCGAAUUCC